rnacentral:rRNA from 1 species
GACGAACGCUGGCGGCGUGCUUAACACAUGCAAGUCGGACGGAAAGGCCCUGCUUUUGUGGGGUGCUCGAGUGGCGAACGGGUGAGUAACACGUGAGUAACCUGCCCUUGACUUUGGGAUAACUUCAGGAAACUGGGGCUAAUACCGGAUAGGAGCUCCUGCUGCAUGGUGGGGGUUGGAAAGUUUCGGCGGUUGGGGAUGGACUCGCGGCUUAUCAGCUUGUUGGUGGGGUAGUGGCUUACCAAGGCUUUGACGGGUAGCCGGCCUGAGAGGGUGACCGGCCACAUUGGAACUGAGAUACGGCCCAGACUCCUACGGGAGGCAGCAGUGGGGAAUAUUGCACAAUGGGCGGAAGCCUGAUGCAGCAACGCCGCGUGCGGGAUGACGGCCUUCGGGUUGUAAACCGCUUUCGCCUGUGACGAAGCGUGAGUGACGGUAAUGGGUAAAGAAGCACCGGCUAACUACGUG